rnacentral:rRNA from 1 species
GCUUGUCUCAAAGAUUAAGCCAUGCAUGUCUAAGUAUAAACGACUUUAUACUGUGAAACUGCGAAUGGCUCAUUAUAUCAGUUAUAGUUUAUUUGAUGGUCCUUACUACUUGGAUAACCGUAGUAAUUCUAGAGCUAAUACAUGCAUCAAACCCCGACUUCUGGAAGGGGUGUAUUUAUUAGAUGGAAACCAAUGCGGGGCAACCCGGAUACUGGUGAUUCAUAAUAAUUUUCGGAUCGAUCGUAGGAUCGAUGCAUCAUUCAAGUUUCUGCCCUAUCAGCUUUGGAUGGUAGGGUAUUGGCCUACCAUGGCAUUAACGGGUAACGGAGAAUUAGGGUUCGAUUCCGGAGAGGGAGCCUGAGAAAUGGCUACCACAUCCAAGGAAGGCAGCAGG